GAAUGCAUUUUAAUUCUUUCCCAAAACGAAGCGCAAAGAAUCGGAGAAACUAGCCAGCAGCCCAAAUUGCAGGCCGCCCGUAGACUCGCAAAAGGCUGAAGUAGGGUAGGGUUCCUCUGAGUUCUUUUAUAUCGACUCAUUUCUUCCUCACACGUAGUAUUCCACCAAAAACCAAACAACGCGACCUUUCCCAUGGAGCAAGUAGACGAAGAAUUAUCCAAAUCCAUCAGCAAGAAAGCGGCCAAGAAGGAGGCCGCUAAGCAAGAGAAGUUACGCCGCCGCCAGGAAGCUGCGUUAGCCUCCGCCGCCUCAUCUAUCGCCAUUGGGGAAGAGGAAGAUCCGUUGGCCGCCAAAUACGGUAAUGUGCCGCUGUAUGAGCUCCAGUCGAAGGAGGAGACCGAUCUCAGCGAGUGGACCAGAGUCGGGGACCUAAGCGAGGGGUUGAAGGAUAAGGAGGUGUUGAUAAGGGGCCGCGCCCAGACGACUCGUGCUGUGGGUAAGAAUAUGGCCUUUGUGGUGGUUAGACAGAAGGGGUUCACUGUGCAGUGCGUGGUUACUGCUCAGCCUGAGUUCGUUAGCCGGCAAAUGGUGAAGUUCGUAGCCGGGUUGAGCCGCGAGUCCAUUAUCGAUGUUCAAGGCCUCGUUUCUGUACCUUCUGUUCCCAUCAAAGGCACCACACAGCAGGUUGAAGUUCAAGUCAGGAAGCUCCAUUGUAUCAGCAAAGCCAUGCCAACUUUACCCAUUAACAUCGAGGAUGCAGCUAGAAGUGAGAAAGAAAUUGAGGAAGCUUUGCAGGCUGGAGAACAACUUGUUCGUGUUAACCAGGAUACACGUCUGAAUUAUAGAGUUCUGGACAUGCGAACACCUGCUAACCAAGGAAUUUUCUAUAUUCAGCAUGAAGUUGGCAGUAUAUUUAGGAAGUUUCUAGAAUCAGAAGGCUUUGAAGAAAUCCAUACUCCAAAAUUGAUGGCAGGAACUAGUGAAGGUGGUUCUGCUGUAUUUAAGCUGGACUACAAGGGGCAAUCUGCAUGCUUGGCACAGUCUCCUCAGCUUCACAAGCAAAUGGCUAUUUGUGGUGACAAAGAGCGUGUUUUUGAGGUUGGGCCUGUUUUCAGAGCAGAGGAUUCUUACACUCAUAGGCAUCUGUGUGAAUUUGUUGGUCUUGAUGUUGAAAUGGAGAUUAAAAAACACUAUUCUGAGGUCAUGGAUAUUGUUGAUCGAUUAUUUGUCACAGUUUUUAACCAUUUGAAUGAGAAGUGCAAAAAGGAACUUGAUGCUGUUCGGCGGCAAUAUCCCUUUGAACCUUUGAAGUACCUGCGAAAAACUCUACGGCUCAGAUUUGAAGAAGGGGUUCAAAUGCUCAAGGAUGCAGGAGUGGAAAUUGAUCCUUAUGGGGACUUGAAUACAGAGUCAGAGAGAAAAUUAGGCCAGCUAGUUUUGGAGAAGUAUGGUACUGAGUUCUACAUUCUUCAUCGCUAUCCUUUGGCUGUUAGGCCAUUCUACACUAUGCCAUGUUAUGAUGAUACAAAGUACAGUAAUUCGUUUGAUGUCUUUAUUCGAGGUGAGGAAAUAAUUUCAGGAGCUCAACGUGUUCAUGUACCAGAGUUGCUGGAAGAACGUGCAAAGGCGUGUGGCAUUGAUGUCAAUACAAUAACAACAUACAUUGAUUCUUUCAGGUAUGGUGCGCCUCCACACGGUGGGUUUGGGGUGGGAUUAGAGCGUGUGGUAAUGUUAUUCUGUGGUCUGAAUAACAUUCGCAAGACAUCACUUUUCCCUCGUGACCCACUAAGGCUUGCCCCUUGAUGUGUUUCGGCUGAGCCUCACGCUUUGUUUUGCUAAGAUUAUAAUUUUUUUCCUCUUAGGAAGUUUAGCUUACAUAAGUGGAAAAACCAUUUAUAUAAGAGCCUGUCUUGAGAUGAUCUCUUCUCAAUACAAAGCGAUGUGAAGGUCUAUUUCAAGUCAAGUUACAAAUGGAAUGUCGAUGAAUAAAUUAGAUGCUGAAAUGUAUAUAUGUAUGUGGAAUUGCAGAGUCCAUAUUCUGAAACAGGCCACAAAUUAUUGGCAUUUUUAGCGGCGUGUACGGUUAUUGGGUAGCUGAAUUGAAUCAAAGAACUGUGCUUUACUAAACCAAUUAAAAUUGUAUUAAACUGUAGUUAUUUUACUCAUUUGAUUUUAUUUUAAAUUCAAAGGAUUAUUUAUUAUUUAA